GACGAACGCUGGCGGCGUGCCUAAUACAUGCAAGUCGAGCGAGCUUGCCUAGAUGAAUUUGGUGCUUGCACCAAAUGAAACUAGAUACAAGCGAGCGGCGGACGGGUGAGUAACACGUGGGUAACCUGCCCAAGAGACUGGGAUAACACCUGGAAACAGAUGCUAAUACCGGAUAACAACACUAGACGCAUGUCUAGAGUUUAAAAGAUGGUUCUGCUAUCACUCUUGGAUGGACCUGCGGUGCAUUAGCUAGUUGGUAAGGUAACGGCUUACCAAGGCAAUGAUGCAUAGCCGAGUUGAGAGACUGAUCGGCCACAUUGGGACUGAGACACGGCCCAAACUCCUACGGGAGGCAGCAGUAGGGAAUCUUCCACAAUGGACGCAAGUCUGAUGGAGCAACGCCGCGUGAGUGAAGAAGGGUUUCGGCUCGUAAAGCUCUGUUGGUAGUGAAGAAAGAUAGAGGUAGUAACUGGCCUUUAUUUGACGGUAAUUACUUAGAAAGUCACGGCUAACUACGUGCCAGCAGCCGCGGUAAUACGUAGGUGGCAAGCGUUGUCCGGAUUUAUUGGGCGUAAAGCGAGUGCAGGCGGUUCAAUAAGUCUGAUGUGAAAGCCUUCGGCUUAACCGGAGAAUUGCAUCAGAAACUGUUGAACUUGAGUGCAGAAGAGGAGAGUGGAACUCCAUGUGUAGCGGUGGAAUGCGUAGAUAUAUGGAAGAACACCAGUGGCGAAAGCGGCUCUCUGGUCUGCAACUGACGCUGAGGCUCGAAAGCAUGGGUAGCGAACAGG
rnacentral:rRNA from 1 species